rnacentral:rRNA from 1 species
CGGCGGACGGGUGAGUAAUGCCUAGGAAUCUGCCUGGUAGUGGGGGACAACGUUUCGGAAGGAACGCUAAUACCGCAUACGUCCUACGGGAGAAAGCAGGGGACCUUCGGGCCUUGCGCUAUCAGAUGAGCCUAGGUCGGAUUAGCUAGUUGGUGAGGUAAUGGCUCACCAAGGCGACGAUCCGUAACUGGUCUGAGAGGAUGAUCAGUCACACUGGAACUGAGACACGGUCCAGACUCCUACGGGAGGCAGCAGCC